GAAGUCCUGCCGGGGAUUACGUGUAGAGAGUGAAACUUCUUGAAUUUCAUCAGCUUGUGGGGAUUUGCCCACUCGAGAGGAAGAAAAGCUGAUUAUCAUCCCAACGCAGCCGGUGCUGUAGGCUGCCCUGUGCAUCUGUGGUUGAGCAUCAAGAAGAUUAAGAGGAUCAGUUCUAAUUAGGGACAUCAGAUGUUGUGUGUAGUAGCUUUCUGGUGAAUGUUCAUUUCCUGAUAUCCAGUGAUGGGAAACCAAAGCAGCAGAAUCAGUGACUUGCUUGUACAUGCCCUCAACAACCUUACUCAGGGAGACUUCAAAAGAUUUAAAGACAAACUAUCACACUCUGCCCUUAAGGAGAAAGGUAACAUCCCUCGAGAUUGUCUGGACAAUGCCAACAGGAUAGAUACUAAGAACCUCCUGAUGAAAUUCUAUGGUGGAGAGGCUGCAGUAGAUGUAACCAUAGAUGUUUUCACUCAGAUCAAUCUCCGAGAUUCUGCUGCUAAACUCUGAGAAGGAAAAGAGAAAGGAUCCAGCACUGGAAUGAGCCGAAGCAUUCACCUAUUUAUCUGCUCUGUCAAGUUUUGAAGGAUCCAAACUGUAAAUUAAAGAA